GACCCGGCCAAGUGUGAGAUGAUGGUGCCGUGCGACGGGGAGAAGUGCACCGAGCACUGCGUCCGCAUAGGGCUGGGCAACGCGAGGGGCUUCUGCUCCUUCCACGACUUGCACUUCGAGUGCUGCUGCCCCAUGCCGCCGCCCCUGCGCUCGCGCCGCCUCUCCUCCUCCGGCUCGGUUUAG
rnacentral:rRNA from 1 species